UGGCUACAUACUCAAAUGUACGUACUUCUGAUACUUUAACUAGUUCUGUCUCGUAGGCUUCCUCAAGACUUGUAUCAGACAGCAAAAGUUGCCAAAUUACUUAUCGCUGUUAAUAGUGGACAAGUAGCAAAGUAUAAAGGAAAAUCCUUGACGAAAUAACUUUGUCAGACAAUGAAUCAUUGCUGGAUGAGACUGAAGCAGAAAAACCUUUAUUUCAUGAUCAAAAUAUUAAUGAAAAUGAAAUAGAAGAGACGUGGGAACAGCAAUUCGGAGAACAAGCAAUGAAAAAUGCGGUAUUAGAUGAAAGGGAAAAUAGUAUAAAAAAAGGAAAGCGAGGAAAGUGGAAUUCAGAGCAAAAAAAUGUAUUGAAAACAGCUUUCAAAGAUCACAUAAAAAACAAAAAAGCUCCGAGAAAAGAAGAAACCGAGUUGAUAAUGAAAAAACAUAAAGAUUUAUUCAAGGAUAAGACGUGGGCCACAGUGAAAGCUUUUGUUUAUAACUGUUAUAAAGGUUAAACAAUUGCUAAUUUACUUUAAAUAUUUUAGACUUGCACUGCGCUAGUAUAAACGUUUAAUUUUAUUUCAAUGUUUAAUAAUUAUUUUAGUCAUUCUCAGCAUUAAUUAUAAAUAAGAUAAAAUGUAAAAUAGCUAUUAACCAAAUAUUUAAUGAAGUACUCGUAUUUACUUUUGUACU
rnacentral:lncRNA from 1 species